rnacentral:lncRNA from 1 species
UUUGCUUGCUGAUUGUUGUUUGAAGUAUGAAUCACUAUACAGAGUGUGACAUAAACUUUUCUAGAACUUCAAAUUUAACAUCACAUAAAAAAGUGAAAGAUAAGAAAGAAAACGAUAAGAAAACAUAAGAAAGUAAAAAGGAAACAUCCAGGUAAAAAUUAUAUUUAGUUCUAAUAAAUGUGUAAUUUAUACUUAAUACAAUAAAUUAUUUAGAUAUGCUUCAUGUGCUGCUACCAAAAAAAGUUCAAAAAACUCAAUCUUCUGUGCUUUGCUUAGAAUGUAAUAAGAACUUUACAAGUCUGGGCAAUCUUAGGCUCCAUCUAAAAAGGCAGCAUGCAGAUAAAUUGGACGAAAUAGCUCCUAUAAAGAAGAAAACUUAUAUAUGUCCCUACUACAGAGAGCAUUUUCCAACUUUAAAAAUCUUUGUCUGUCAUAAAAAAACCCAUAAAAUUCUAAAGGAAUUAAAGUGCCCAUUAUGUCCAUAUACUGGUUCUGAUCGAGCAAAAUUAAUAUUACACUAUAUGGGAGUGAUCAUUUUUUCAAUAUUGAAAGUGAAUGUAUUAAAUUUGAUACAUUUGAGGAUUUUCAAUCUUGGAAAUGGAAAGUGGAGGAAAAAUCAUAUUCAUCAUUUGUGAAAAUGUAUGGUUCAAAAAAAGCCACUGAUUACACCACAUCAAACUAUAAUUGUCAUAGGUCGGGUACCUUUAAGAAAAAGGGGAAGAACAUGAGAAAUCUUAAUACGCAAGGAGCAAAUAAAAUUGAAGGAUAUUGUCCUGCAAGAAUGAGUGUUAAAAUAAUGAAAGAUAAAAAAUGUGUAGUUAACUUCUGUAAGAGCCAUAUAGGCCAUAAACAACAACAAGAUAUAGGUCACCUGUUCCUAUCAAAAUUGCAAAAGCAAGAUUUGGCAGCAAAGAUAGCCGCAAAAAUUCCAUUUCAAGUAAGAGACUCCGUGUCUAAUUCUCAUUUAGAGCGUAUCCACUUGCUCACAAAAAAGGACCUUUACAAUCUUGAGCAGUGUUUUAAUUUGAGUGGCUCGUCAGUACGACAUGCAAAUGAUGCAAUAAGUGUCGAUGCAUGGGUCAGUGAGAUGAAAAGUUCAGGAUGUGCUUUUCUAUAAACCACAGGACACUUUAUGUGAAGAGUAUCCUGAACUAAAAUAUGAGGACAUUUUUUUAAUUAUAAUGACAGAUGGACAAAAGGAUCUCUUACUACGAUUUGGGGAAGAUUGUAUUUGUAUAGAUGGAACGCACGGACUAAAUGCUUAUGGAUUUGAGUUGCACACCAUCCUUGUCUUGGAUGAUUUGCGAGAGGGAUAUCCUACAGCAUUUUUUAUUUCUAAUCGUAGCGACACGAUAGGCAUGCCUAUUUUUUUCCAAUGUGUCAAAGAAAGAACUGGAAAGUGCAUUAAACCUAAAGUCUUUAUGUCAGACAUGGCCGAUGUGUACUAUAAAUCAUGGAUGCAGGUUAUGCAGCCCGCUGAAUUUAGAUUAUUUUGCACUUGGCAUAUAUACAAGGCAUGGAGGAAGAAUUUGGAAAAAGUUACCAAUAAAGAAAAAAAAAUUAGUAUUUUAAAACAUGAUUCAGGUGUAUCAUAUGCUUAGGACAUUAUUACAGGAAACUGAUGUAUCUGCUUUUAAUAAAUUAGUUUCCAAGUUUCUUGAAUAUUGUAAAGCAGACAAAGAUAGUUUGGAAUUUGGGAUGUAUUUUGAACAAUAUUAUGCAUGCAAAUCCGAGCAAUGGGCAUAUUGUUUUAGGUUAUAUUCUGGCCUAAAUACUAAUAUGCACAUCGAGAGAAUGCACCGAACGAUAAAACAUAUUUAGAUAUUUAGAUAAGGCAAUAGGUGCUAUAAUGAAAUUUGUCAAAGAUAAAUUAUUUGAAAGACUUAUUGUACUGCAUAAAGGAAAGGUCUCAACCAAAACCAGUGAAUUAAGAAAAAGGCAUAAUACUAGUCAAUCCCUUGAUUUAAAUAGAGUGGUUAAAACUGAUAUUGGUUGGGUGGUGCCCUCUAGUUCAAGCAACGAAAUGCACCAUUGAGGAGGUGAAAGACAGCUGUCCAUGUAAAUUGGUGUGUGAAGAAUGUCAAGCUUGUUUACACCGUUUUACUUGCACAUGCUUAGAUUCAUGUAUAAAAUGGAACAUGUGCAAGCAUAUCCACUUAGUUUGUAAAUACACCCAACUACAUUCAAAUAAUGACAACACCAUCAAAAACGCAGAAAA